rnacentral:rRNA from 1 species
GAUGAACGCUAGCUACAGGCUUAACACAUGCAAGUCGAGGGGAAACGAUAUUAGAAGCUUGCUUCUGAUAGGCGUCGACCGGCGCACGGGUGAGUAACGCGUAUCCAACCUGCCCAUCACUUGGGGAUAACCUUGCGAAAGUAAGACUAAUACCCAAUGACGUCUCUAGAAGACAUCUGAAAGAGAUUAAAGAUUUAUCGGUGAUGGAUGGGGAUGCGUCUGAUUAGCUUGUUGGCGGGGUAACGGCCCACCAAGGCGACGAUCAGUAGGGGUUCUGAGAGGAAGGUCCCCCCACAUUGGAACUGAGACACGGCCCAGACUCCUACGGGAGGCAGCAGUGGGGAAUAUUGCACAAUGGGGGGAAACCCUGAUGCAGCGACGCCGCGUGAGUGAUGAAGUAUUUCGGUAUGUAAAACUCUAUCAGCAGGGAAGAUAAUGACGGUACCUGACUAAGAAGCACCGGCUAAAUACGUGCCAGCAGCCGCGGU